CGCUUCGGCUCGAAUGGAGGAACCGUGUCUAGCGGACCGCGGCUAGCGAGAGACUCUAUUGAUCCGUGAGACUCCUUCCAUUUCAUCGGCGGUGGCAUGACAGUGAUAUCGGAGUGCGAGGUGGCUGCUGUAGUAGUGGGAGUCCAGAAUGCGUAGUCCGAUUCCCCAUCAUCAUCGUCCGAGGAGCCAAAUCCUGCUUCAUUGUCUGUCUCAUUGCCGUCGUCAGACAAAUCUUGGUUCCCAUCGUCUUCAUCCUCCUCAUCAUCAUCCUCGUCCUCCUCGUCAUCAUCAUUGUUC
rnacentral:miRNA from 1 species